rnacentral:rRNA from 1 species
GACGAACCGUGCAAACGUUAUUCGGAAUCACUGGGCUUAAAGGGCGCGUAGGCGGGCUCCCAAGUCGGUGGUGAAAUCUUUCGGCCCAACCGGAAAAGUGCCGCCGAUACUGGGAGCCUCGAGGGAGGUAGGGGUCGAGGGAACUCUAGGUGGAGCGGUGAAAUGCGCAGAUAUCAGGAGGAACACCAAUGGCGAAGGCAGCUCACUGGGACGGUAUUGACGCUGAGACGCGAAAGCGUGGGGAGCAAACAGG